rnacentral:tRNA from 1 species
AACAGUGUAGUUUAACAUUAAAACGUUAAUUUUCCAAAUUAAAGAUUCUGUUCAGAUACUGUUA